rnacentral:rRNA from 1 species
CAUGCCUUAAACGAUGCAUACUAGGAGUAGGAGGGCUCAACCCCCUCUGUUCCGGAGCUAACGCAUUAAGUAUGCCGCCUGGGGAGUACGCUCGCAAGGGUGAAACUCAAAAGAAUUGAC